GACGAACGCUGGCGGCGUGCCUAAUACAUGCAAGUAGAACGCUGAAGCUUGGUGCUUGCACCGAGCGGAUGAGUUGCGAACGGGUGAGUAACGCGUAGGUAACCUGCCUGGUAGCGGGGGAUAACUAUUGGAAACGAUAGCUAAUACCGCAUAAGAGUAGAUGUUGCAUGACAUUUUCUUAAAAGGUGCAAUUGCAUCACUACCAGAUGGACCUGCGUUGUAUUAGCUAGUUGGUGAGGUAACGGCUCACCAAGGCAACGAUACAUAGCCGACCUGAGAGGGUGAUCGGCCACACUGGGACUGAGACACGGCCCAGACUUCUACGGGAGGCAGCAGUAGGGAAUCUUCGGCAAUGGACGGAAGUCUGAACGAGCAACGCCGCGUGAGUGAAGAAGGUUUUCGGAUCGUAAAGCUCUGUUGUAAGAGAAGAACGAGUGUGAGAGUGGAAAGUUCACACUGUGACGGUAUCUUACCAGAAAGGGACGGCUAACUACGUG
rnacentral:rRNA from 1 species